rnacentral:rRNA from 1 species
CGAGUGGCGGACGGGCGAGGAAUACAUCGGAAUCUACUCUUUCGUGGGGGAUAACGUAGGGAAACUUACGCUAAUACCGCAUACGACCUACGGGUGAAAGCGGAGGACCUUCGGGCUUCGCGCGAUUGAAUGAGCCGAUGUCGGAUUAGCUAGUUGGCGGGGUAAAGGCCCACCAAGGCGACGAUCCGCAGCUGGUCUGAGAGGAUGAUCAGCCACACUGGAACUGAGACACGGUCCAG